AUGCUUGUUUCUGUGGCACAUAUACUAAAGGAUGAUAUAGGGAUGAUUAGCGUAGCCCUGAGUAAGGAUGACAUACAAAUAUGUGAAGAGUUAUAUAUAUAU